rnacentral:rRNA from 1 species
UUGUAGAGGGGGUAGAUCCAGGUGUAGCGGUGAAAUGCGUAGAGAUNNGAGGAAUNNGGUGGCGAGGNNNCCCUUGACGAAGACUGACGCUCAGGUGCGAAGCGUGGGGGAGCAAACAGGAUUAGAUACCUUGGUAGNCACGCGUAAACGAUGUCGACUGGAGGUUGUGCCCUUGAGGCGUGGCUUCCGGAGCUAACGCGUUAAGUCGACCGCUGGGGAGUACGGCGCAAGGUUAAAACUCAAAUGAAUUGACGGGGGCCGCACAAGCGGUGGGGCAUGUGGUUUAAUUCGAUGCAACGCGAAGANCUUACUGGUCUUGACAUCCACGGAAGUUUUCAGAGAUGAGAAUGUGCCUUCGGGAACCGUGAGACAGGUGCUGCAUGGCUGUCGUCAGCUCGUGUUGUGAAAUGUUGGGUUAAGUCCCGCAACGAGCGCAACCCUUAUCCUUUGUUGCCAGCGGUCCGGCCGGGAACUCAAAGGAGACUGCCAGUGAUAAACUGGAGGAAGGUGGGGAUGACGUCAAGUCAUCAUGGCCCUUACGACCAGGGCUACACACGUGCUACAAUGGCGCAUACAAAGAGAAGCGACCUCGCGAGAGCAAGCGGACCUCAUAAAGUGCGUCGUAGUCCGGAUUGGAGUCUGCAACUCGACUCCAUGAAGUCGGAAUCGCUAGUAAUCGUGGAUCAGAAUGCCACGGUGAAUACGUUCCCGGGCCUUGUACACACCGCCCGUCACACCAUGGGAGUGGGUUGCAAAAGAAGUAGGUAGCUUAACCUUCGGGAGGGCGCUUACCACUUUGUGAUUCAUGACUGGGGUGAAGUCGUAACAAGGUAACCGUAGGGGAACCUGCGGCUGGAUCACCUCCUU